GCCGGGGUAGCUCAGCUGGGAGAGCAACAGACUGAAGUAAUAACAAGGCGAUGGCUUCUGGAGGUCCCGUGUUCAAUCCACGGUCCUGGCA